rnacentral:rRNA from 1 species
AACGUAGGUGGCGAGCGUUAUCCGGAUUUACUGGGCGUAAAGCGUGUGCAGGCGGGGAGACAAGUGGUGUAUGAAAUUUCCCGGCUUAACCGGGAAGGGUUAUGCCAGACUGUCUUUCUGGAGUGCGAGAGAGGGGCGUGGAAUUCCGGGUGUAGUGGUGAAAUGCGUAGAUAUCGGGAGGAACACCAGUGGCGAAGGCGGCUCACUGGCCCGGAACUGACGCUGAGGUGCGAAAGCGUGGGGAGCAAACAGG